rnacentral:lncRNA from 1 species
CGGAGCGAGGGUCGACUGUCCGUCUGUCGCAGUCGGGUGGUGUGCUUGCUUCCAAGUCUGGAGUUGGCUGGUUCAAGCUCGUUCUACUGAGCGUUUCUUGCAUUUUAAAAAUGCUUAAACCGCUGGCAACUUUCUUCUACCCAGCACAUUCUCUCAUGGAAUGGCAGAGCAAGACCAACUUUACCCGCCUCUCCUCCGUGUCUCCCAUACGACAUGAGGACGUAAAUCAAGAUCUGGAUUUUCAUCUGGUAUUGGAUUCCUUCUGCCCGGAAGACUCCUUUGACGUUUCUGUAGUGUGGGUCAGCUGGUAGUGAAUUCGGUCAGCUUAUCGAAGCCUAUAUGGGUUCCCGAUGUCACAUCGCAGCUACCGCAUUGGAGGGUUAAGAGCCGCUGACAAAUCUCUUUCGGGAAGGGAAGAAGAGUUCCAAACAAAAGAUCUACUACCCUGAGAAGCGGUGAAGUGCUCCUGGGGCCCACCAAGGCCACACAAGUCAAGGAGUGGAUGGCCUUGCCCCAGCUAUGGCUCAGAUCACCUUUGCAGGAUGACAUCUUGUUGGGAGAUGGUCAUCAGAGACAGGGCCAUGGAAGACGCUGUCAGGAGGAGGCACAGAGGAAAGGCUAUGGGAGCACAAAGCAAGAAAGUGGCCUUCUGCAAGCCAGGAAGAGAGGCCUCCCCAGAAACCAACUCUACCAGCACAUCGAUCUUGGACUUUUGGCCUCUAGAACAUUGAGAAAAUAAAAGUCUGCUGUUAAACCA